rnacentral:rRNA from 1 species
AGAACGAACGCUGGCGGCAGGCCUAACACAUGCAAGUCGAGCGGACAUUUUCGGAUGUCAGCGCGGACGGGUGAGUAACGCGUGGGAACGUGCCCUUUGGUUCGGAAUAGCCCUGGGAAACUGGGAGUAAUACCGGAUAUUCUCUUUGGAGAAAGAUUUAUCGCCAAGGGAUCGGCCCGCGUUGGAUUAGGUAGUUGGUGGGGUAAUGGCCUACCAAGCCGACGAUCCAUAGCUGGUUGAGAGGAUGAUCAGCCACACUGGGACUGAGACACGGACCCAGCGUACCUACGGGAGGCAGCAGUGGGGAAUCUUA